GAGUUUGAUCAUGGCUCAGGACGAACGCUGGCGGCACGCCUAACACAUGCAAGUCGAACGGAGAUAUUUUGGUUUACUGAGAUAUYUUAGUGGCGGACGGGUGAGUAACACGUGAGCAACCUGCCUYUGAGAGAGGGAUAGCUUCUGGAAACGGAUGGUAAUACCUCAUAACAUAACGAAGCCGCAUGACUUUGUUAUCAAAGAUUUAUCACUCAGAGAUGGGCUCGCGUYUGAUUAGAUAGUUGGUGAGGUAACGGCUCACCAAGUCGACGAUCAGUAGCCGGACUGAGAGGUUGAACGGCCACAUUGGGACUGAGACACGGCCCAGACUCCUACGGGAGGCAGCAGUGGGGAAUAUUGCACAAUGGGGGAAACCCUGAUGCAGCGAUGCCGCGUGGAGGAAGAAGGUUUUCGGAUUGUAAACUCCUGUCUAAAGGACGAUAAUGACGUACU
rnacentral:rRNA from 1 species